AUCGGUGGUUGGCAGAGGUUUGGUGAUUGUUCCUAAGCUGAUUCAUCCUCUUCCACCUUCCAUCUUAUCUCCAGAGAAUUCUCCAGAGCAUUAUGGAGACGACGCUUGGAUGCAGGAGCUAAAUAUCCAGAGACCGCCUACUCCAACACGAGGGAGGCCACAACCAGACUUUGACAGAAGCUCGUUUGCAUACAUCUGAAACUAAAUUGCGUUCGCGAUUUUCACAAUUCACUGAAGUCAUCAAGGUAGAAGCAUUUGAGAAUUUGGUACAACUCUAUACAAGUAUAGUAAAAGAUGGUAUGGUUCAAUAAUUGCAGUGUUCACAUACUCUGCCGCACAUGUGUUAAUAUAAUAACCUACUUACCGUACCAGAGAAUGGUAUACUUGUUUUUUUUCUUUGUUUAUUGCCUCUUUCCCCCAAAAAGAAAAAAAAAACUAUGCGAUAUUUUUCUUCUCUGUGAGCCUAUAUGGUGGGUGUAUUAUGUUUA